AACGAACGCUGGCGGCAGGCCUAACACAUGCAAGUCGAGCGAGACCUUCGGGUCUAGCGGCGGACGGGUUAGUAACGCGUGGGAACAUGCCCUUCUCUGCGGAAUAGCCACUGGAAACGGUGAGUAAUACCGCAUACGCCCUUCGGGGAAAGAUUUAUCGGAGAAGGAUCGGCCCGCGUUAGAUUAGAUAGUUGGUGGGUAACGGCCUACCAAGUCUACGAUCUAUAGCUGGUUUUAGGGGAUGAUCAGCAACACUGGGACUGAGACACGGCCCAGACUCCUACGGGAGGCAGCAGUGGGGAAUCUUAGACAAUGGGCGCAAGCCUGAUCUAGCCAUGCCGCGUGUGUGAUGAAGGUCUUAGGAUCGUAAAGCACUUUCGCCAGGGAUGAUAAUGACAGUACCUGGUAAAGAAACCCCGGCUAACUCCGUG
rnacentral:rRNA from 1 species